UACAGAGGUCUCAAGCGUUGUUCGGAUUCAUUGGGCGUAAAGGGUGCGUAGGCGGCGCGGUAAAUCGGGUGUGAAAUCUCGGAGCUUAACUCCGAAACUGCAUUCGAUACUGCCGUGCUUGAGGACUGGAGAGGAGACUGGAAUUUACGGUGUAGCGGUGAAAUGCGUAGAUAUCGUAAGGAAGACCAGUGGCGAAGGCGGGUCUCUGGACAGUUCCUGACGCUGAGGCACGAAGGCCAGGGGAGCAAACGGG
rnacentral:rRNA from 1 species